rnacentral:rRNA from 1 species
AGCCCGAGUUGAGAGACUGAUCGGGCCACAUUGGGACUGAGACACGGGCCCAAACUCCUACGGGAGGCAGCAGUAGGGGAAUCUUCCACAAUGGACGCAAAGUCUGAUGGAGCAAAACGCCGCGUGAGUGAAGUAAGGGUUUCGGCUACGUAAAAGCUCUGUUGUUGGUGAAGAAGGACAGGGGUAGUAACUGACCCUUUGUUUGACGGUAAUCAACUUAGAAAGUCACGGGCUAACUACGUGCCCAGCAGCCGCGGUAAAU